CGUCCUAUGUCACAAACGCCGCCUCGAACAUCAUCCCGUCGUCCGUGUGGAGCGCGACAGCCGCCGCCAUCGACACCAUCGGCAUCAUGUCGUCCUACCUGGAGCGCGACCGCCACCGCCGCCAUCGACACCCGGCCUUCCUGCAUCUAGGGCGAACGCCGCCGCCACCUACGACUCCCCGUCGUCCUGCAUCGAGGGCGACCGCAGCCGCCAGCGGAUCGGCCCGGUCAUGCAUCUCCGGCACCAGGUCGACGCCGUCGCAACAUCGAGAGACGCCGACUCUAGGUAGCGUAUUUCUCAUCACCCCACCUAGCCAACGGAAAAAUAGGCACGGUGUUACUUUUCUGGCUUGCCACUUGAUGCAUCUCGAAGGCUUGAAUGCCAUGGCCAGCAUCCGCGGAUACGCAGCGACACUGAACACUGUAUUCUGGAUGCAGGGCGACAGGGCUGCAACUUGUUUUGUCCAUGUCGGUAUUCGAGCCUAUUCCUAGGUAGUGUAACUAGGUUCUUCAUUGCAUCUUUUAGAGAGAAUAGUACACAAAUGAUUUGCAGAGAUAUGAAAUCGUUGAGUCAAGUCACCAUAAGACCAAAUUGCCGGAAUUCAGUAACUAGCCAUGGCUAGGCAGCAGGCAUAGAAUGGGUGGAGUGGGCUACAAUGCUACUGCUAUUGUUACAGGAAAUAAGAAGAGUCGGAAGAGUUAAAAGUUAGGUUCCCAGUAACCAUGCUUUAUGAAGGGAAAUAGAAGAAAUUGAAAUAUAUUCUGGAGGUCGGUCCCGUUGGGCGUGGCUGGCGAGCGAUGCCACCAGUAGGUAGACGCCGCUGCAACAUCAACAGACGCCAGACAAACUCGUCGGCAGGUACAUUGACUGUAUGGAUGCUGCUCCUCAGGGGAUUCUUGAUCUCUGCUUAUGCAUUUGAUAGCCACUCCUCAUGGGAUUCUUGAUCAUGGAUGUGUUAAGUUGAUUCAAAUGGCACACAUGGUCAUAGCCGUAGUUAAUUUGCAGGAUCAAAACAAAAGUUUUCUUGCUACAAUGAAGGUUUCUUUGUAGCUAUGUUGAUUCACUGAUGUCCAUCAAGCACUACCCGCAGGCAGAUGUAAAAGGCAAGCAACAAGCUGUUGUCAACUAUCAGGAGAUUAAGAGAGAGUGGUGGUUUCAGCAACGAUGUCAGAAACUGGCUCGUACAUGGCUAAAACCUGAUGCAGGCUUCCUGAAGCUUAACGUGGAUGGGUCUUAUAGUGAACAGGCAGGGAACGGGGGUGCUGGCUUGGUCCUGCGGGAUGAUACUGGAUCAGUUUUGUUGUGUGCCUGCCGAUACAUUCCAGCAUGCACCUCGCCACUGGAAGCUGAGCUUGUUGCUUGCAGGGAAGGCAUUGCCAAGACAAGAGAAUGGUCUGAUCAGCCUUGCAUUGUUGAGAUGGACAGUGUGGAAGCAGUCCGGAUGAUCAAGUCUCCAGGCUUGGACAGAUCAUGUUUCAGUCAUACGGUGCAAGAAAUCAAGCAAUCGAUGCAGUUAGAUCCUAGGUAGAAGUUGUUAGCAGUCGAUAGGAACCAAAAUCAUUCUGGUCAUUUGUUAGCAAAUAGGGGAAGAUUGAGUGCUGAAAAUGUAACCUAGAUCAGGACUGGUCCUGAGGAUGUUUAUGUGUGUUGCCUACAGGCCGGAGGCUUCUCCUGUAGCUUAAUCAGUACUAUAUUUAUUUCGCAAAAAAAAAAGAGUAGAAGCCGUAGUUAAUUUGCAAGAAAAAACUCAGUAUUGCUGGUGUUUUC